UACGGAGGAUGCAAGCGUUAUCCGGAAUUAUUGGGCGUAAAGCGUCCGUAGGUGGCUAUUCAAGUCAGUUGUUAAAGCGUGGGGCUUAACUCCAUAAAGGCAAAUGAAACUGAUUAGCUAGAGUGCGAUAGGGGCAAGGGGAAUUUCCAGUGUAGCGGUGAAAUGCGUAGAUAUUGGAAAGAACACCGGUGGCGAAAGCGCCUUGCUGGGUCUGCACUGACACUGAGGGACGAAAGCUAGGGGAGCGAAAGGG
rnacentral:rRNA from 1 species